UUACCUACAAUAUCUGCUUUCUUCUCCUUACAGGAAUGUGUCAUGAGAAUAAAUGAGAUAAUUUAGGCAAAGCACUUUGAGAUCCUAGGAAGAAAAUGCAUUUUAUUUGUUCAUUAUUGUUGUUUUUAGUAUUAUUAAUAAAUGCUACAUUGAAGUUGGCCUGAAGAAUCACUGUUAUAUUUUUCAACCGCAUUCCUGGAAGCACUGCAGAUGUUAGAUCAAUUUUGAAAGCCAAAGUGUACCUCUGGGAAUGACAUGGCAGCAACUGAAAUAGUAUUUGGCCACAUUAAGAGUGUACGCCAAAGAUGCCAAAAAUCACAGUAACCUGGCAGAAACAGACCAAAAGCACUUCACGUGAAAUUACUGACCACCAUGGCUCCUUCAGGUUCUGUUAAUCUGGAUUCGAGGCACCUGAGAGCCAAAGCAAACCGCAAGAGGCGCAGCAGCUCACCCGCACAUCGCACAGAAGCAGCCUCGCAUGGUGUGUGCCAGUCCAAUUGGCAAUCUCUUAGCACUGAGAGGAAAUAAUGUAAUUUUGAGGAGUUAGGCAUUUUCUUCAAAAGAAGACAGAUUCUAAAUGGUGAAGGUGGUGAGGAAAUAAGUGGGAAAUGUUUACGGUAGGGAGGCAUCCAACGGGGAAUUUAUGGGAACGGAAAAGUCUUCCAAAUAAGGAGGCUUGAGAUUUGAGAGCAGACCUGUGUGUAGGUUUGAGGGAAGAAUUGAGGAUGAGCGAUCAAAGGAGAAAAUCUGGGAGGUUCUCAGCAGUGAAGGUCUGUUGAGAGGGAGAAGACACUAUUGACCAAACCUCUACUGUGUGCUGGGUAACUUCUUACGUGUUGAUCAAAAUACAUUUAUAAUGUUCAUGUAUGCAGGCCAAACAUUUGAAGUGCAGAAAGAUUAAACAAUUUUCAUUUUCAUUUCAUUUCAAUGAAAUGAAAUCAUUUCAUUUUCAUUUUACCCAGGACCUUUAAGGACUCAAUACCUUUUCUUCAAAUAUUAGCAUUCUCCUCACUUCAUUGGAUGCUUCCAACCAUGGGUUCU